CACUAUGGAAAAUUGAGCACAAGACAAAGGCAACUGAAAUGGUGACAUUUCUGAAAACCUCUGUCCACAAAGAAACUAACUCGAGACAAUCAACUUGCUCAGGACUAAUGCUGAAAUGAUUUA